AGUAGAAUGGCUGAGGUUAAAAGGUAAAAGAUUGUAAAUCUUUUUAGGGGUUUGGAGUACUCUUCUACUA
rnacentral:tRNA from 1 species